CCUACGGGUGGCAGCAGUGAGGAAUAUUGGUCAAUGGACGAGAGUCUGAACCAGCCAAGUAGCGUGAAGGAUGACUGCCCUAUGGGUUGUAAACUUCUUUUAUAUGGGAAUAAAAUGUUCCACGUGUGGGAUUUUGUAUGUACCAUAUGAGUAAGGAUCGGCUAACUCCGUGCCAGCAGCCGCGGUAAUACGGAGGAUCCGAGCGUUAUCCGGAUUUAUUGGGUUUAAAGGGAGCGUAGGUGGAUUGUUAAGUCAGUUGUGAAAGUUUGCGGCUCAACCGUAAAAUUGCAGUUGAAACUGGCAGUCUUGAGUACAGUAGAGGUUGGCGGAAUUCGUGGUGUAGCGGUGAAAUGCUUAGAUAUCACGAAGAACUCCGAUUGCGAAGGCAGUUCACUGGACUGCAACUGACACUGAGGCUCGAAAGUGUGGGUAUCAAACAGGAUUAGAUACCCGAGUAGUC
rnacentral:rRNA from 1 species